rnacentral:lncRNA from 1 species
GUGAAGGAGAUGCAAAUAAUUUUGAUGUUGGCAAUGAAGUACAACCCAACCCAACACCAAGUUCUUCCAAAAAGAGAAAGGUUUUAGGGAAAGGAGAGAAAAUCGGGGCAACAGAGAAACUUCAACGAUCUCUUGAUCGUAUGCUCGAUGGGUUUGGGCCAAGCCAACAAGGACUCCCAGAAGAUAACAUUAUUUAUGCUAAAUGUUUGAAAAUGUUGGAUGAAAUCCCAUCCUUGGUAAAAGGAUCACAUUUACACUUUAAGGCUGUUAGAAUCCUUGCCAAUAAAGAAAAUAGGACAACAUUUUAUUACUUCAUGAAUACCUCAACUGCUGAUAUGGCUCUUGAUUGGAUAGACACU